UAUACCUUGUGCUUCACAAGCGAUAAACGGAUAAGGUUCUGUAAUGUGGAGGGAAAGUGAACUGUGGCUUGGUUAUCAAUAAGCGUUAUCAAGAGCGAAGCAGCGCUGUCUGCGCAAAGGGGAAACACGUGCUAAACGUUGUGGGGGCGCUGCGAUACGAGAGCCCUUAAAAGACCGCGCGCUGCUAUGCAGGGGGCUCUUCCUUGUGAUCUUUGGCGGCGGUGAGUGGAUCUCUGCUAGUAAGUGUGGCAUCUUCCCUUGUUACUUGACGGACGGGCCGACGCCUCGAGAGCGAGAAUCCGAGUUCCAGCUUAAUGGAUACAAUGCCACGACCUUCCCGACGAAGACCCAACACUUCGCUACGACGGAGUUUGUCAGGACCACCACUGACAAGGUCGUCACACAGGGCUCCGGCCCCUCCGCGACAGCGGCGAUGUGGACCAACGUCCACGAGUAUCGACCUUUAGCCUGGGCAUCCCAUAGACGGUGGACCGCAGGCUCGCCCUCUUCGAGGUGUUAACCCCUCGAGGACCACCCAUGACGGACCGCCAUCCCGGUGCACCAACCCUUGCCAUUCACGGAGGAAGAAACAAGGAUCCUCUGCCCUGUUUGUACGGUACCCCAGAACCAUCGGACCACCCACCGGCGGGGCGCCCGCCACCGCUCGAGGGUGGGUGCAGCACGUUCUACGGACCCCGACGUGGCUUCUGCGCUGGUCACCCACAUCUUCUGCGGCAGGACCCCCUCCGCCCCUUGACCAGAAUGACGCGAGGGCACCACCCGAAGACAUCAUAGUAGACAUCGACGACAGACUACUCGUAAAACACUGCAUGUUUUGAACUGUUUUGGUUAAGGAGUGCGUGGGGAAACUGAACACCGGUUAUCAAUAAACGUUAUCAAGAGCAAAAGAAGGCGCAAGGUAUGCAAUAAACCUUUGUUUGCA